rnacentral:lncRNA from 1 species
UUCAGUAGACUCACAAAGGACAUCUGAAUGACCCUGCUUGCCUUGCCUGGGACUCUGUGAAGAGGACUGUGGUCAGGCAGGGUUGGCCACUGUGCCCAGGGCAUGGCAUUCACCAUUGAACCGUGAAGUCUUUCCCCUUCCACGCCUGUAGCACUUAGUACUCUCUUGUGCCUCUUACCUCACCUGAUUAUCCUGUUUUCUUAUACACCAGGCUGGUUGGCAGAGUACAGCACAACUCAUUUCGCGGGAUCUGGGGUGUGAAUGGCUCUGCUAAUGGGCGCCAGCGUGACCUGCAUAACCACCUGAUAGUCUUCUUGCCCGACUAGGAUAUAAACGAUUAGAGGGCUGAUGUCAUGGAAUAGGAAAUUUUCAAAAAUAUUCAAGUGAACUGACCAAGUCAGGAGCCCAGCCCUAACUCUACUGUCUACCAGAAGGGAUAACUUGCUUUCCCAAGAUUAAAAUCUGCCCUACAAAAUCUGUGCUGUUUGGUAACAUUAAAAAAAAAAAAAUUAAAAUUGUGUCAUGUUUCUCGUGGGUCAUAGGUGCUCAGGUUUUGCCUGAGGCCCCAUCGCUCUGUAUUUUGUUAUGGCAGGCUUAUUCCCACGUUUAUGAUACCUGCCAGGCCACUGUAGGAAUUUUGACAUGUGGCUUGGCCUUUCUGGAGCCCAUUUAACCUCUUGGACUGCAGUUUUUUCAUCUGUAAAAUUGUCCUGCUACCUGCUCUGCCCACAUCAUGAGACCUUCCGAUGACCCAAAGAGGUAAUCCAGGAAAAGGACUAUAAAGUUCACAAAAUACAACAUAAUAGAAUGUAUCCUCAUUAAAUUCAUUAAUAGUGUUAUGAUUAUUAUUUUUAUGGUAUUGAAAUGUGAUCAAACCCAACGUCUAGUAUCUGCAAGUAAAGCUUCUUGACUUUCAUCUAAUAAAACUGAAUCUUCACCCAUUGGUUGGCAGACCAGCAUAAAACCUGUGGAAUGUUAAAUUUCUGGGCACAUUCUCGUUCUCUUUUUAUAUUCCCCUGUGGUUUCUUGUGACUUUACAAAGAUCAAGAGGCCACCUCACAGGUUACCUUUCAUUCAGGAGGUUGUGGCAUCCUAUUCAUUGUGAAGUUCUGGAAAUUUUCCUCCUCAUCAUAGAAAACUGGUGUCACGUGGAGUAUCCUUUCCUCACUCUUGCCCCCUGCUUCCUCUUUGGUGACUAAAACUAGAGAAAAGAAAUCGGAAACCAUGUGUGUUAGAAUGGAACACCCAUCACAGGACACUUCCAAACUUUCAGACAUAUUUAGCUCUUGAAUAUUAUGGAUCUUUCGUGUAUCCUUUGGUGAAAUGUUAAACAAAAUGGUAGACAAAGUGUAGACUCUCUGAAACCCCCGGAGCUGCGUGAUUUGAGUACUUGUUCAGAGAUGAGCCAUGAGGAAGGUUUAUGCAGUGUUUGCUAUGCCUGUGUCAUUUGAGUGCUUCCUUGGUGGGUCAGCUGGUAAAGAAUCUACCUGCAAUGUGGGAGACCUGGGUUCGAUCCC